rnacentral:lncRNA from 1 species
ACUUGGAUUCUAAGAAAACGUAAAUAAGGAAACGUAAACUGAAUACACAAACGAAAAUAUUGGGCGUCAUUAAAUUUUAACCGUUUUAAAUUUACAAAGGAACAAUUAACGAUACGUAACACAACAAAGAAAUUAGUAACUCUACUACGACACUUAAUGCUACAAAAGAAAAAUUAGCAACGCUGCUACAACAACACAAUAAUAUUCUAAUUUUGAGCUGUAAAUAAUGAAUAAAAAGCAACAUUACACUUUAACAAAACAUUUAUUAAAAAUUCGUAGAAUCUUAAUAUUCACAUAAUAUACAUAAAUGAAGCGUAAAAACGUUAACCACAAAAAUAAAAAUUAAAAAAUAAUCAGUUAAACAUGGUUAAUAAAUUGAAUAUACACGCACGUAAAAAGAUUGAUAAAUGGACGAUUGUGACUCACUAUUUGAAAAUGGAAUUAACUGAAGUUAAUAAACAUUAUCUAUAAAGUUUAAAAAUAAAGAAAAGUAAAAUAGUUUCUUAAAAAAAGUUUAAAAGAUCAUAAUUCAUACUUCGUCCAUUUCUAAAUAUAGUUAAAAAAAGGCCUUUUUGUCUCGAUAAGACUAAAAUAAUUAAAUUAUACUCUAACAACAGAAAUCGCAUAACGUUAAUUAAAGAAAUUAACCAUAUAAAAACAUACUUCAAAUUCACUUUAAAUGUCAAAAACAUUAAGCGAAAACGCCUAUAUAAUCUUGAAUUAGAAAUUUAUGCGAAAGUAAAUGUCUAUAUUUCUUUUUUUUAAACCAAAACGGCAAUGACCUCAUAUAUUAAGUAGGUCUCUCAACUUUAUGCAAGUAACAUAAUAUUAUGGUAGCUAUGUUAUCUCAGGCAAACAAAAAUAAACCAAAAUAGUUCACUAACUCAAACAGGAGGAGAAAUGCUCCCUUUGUAGGCCGACUGGCCCAUGAGGCGCUAAAGAUGAAUACGAAGAAAUUCGACUAUUGACAUAGUCGAGAGAAGAACAGCGCUAAUAAUGCAUAAUGCAAACUUAGGUGGAAGGUGAGAUCAGGUAUUUGCAGUGGGCGGUUAUCUGGGACUUGGACCAGGGACCAGCCCUGUGAACAAAAUUAAGUAUUCACAGCAAGUGUUCUAUAAAAAAAGGGUUUUGUAAAGACUUACCAGAAGAAAAUCCAGGCUGGUCCAUCACAAAACAACUAACGUUUAACUAACAGAAACAAUUAAAUGAAAUUAAAAUAAAUGUAAACACAACAAACUGUCAAUAAUAUAUUUAUUUGUGUCGGUAAAAUAGCGUGAAUAUUUCUAGAAAGAGGGUUUGUUAUUCUUUGCGAAUGUGGUGGUGUGACUGCACCGAGUGCCCGCUGUGACUAUACUAAACUACAAACAUUAGUUUUACAUGUCUGUGGUUUUUAAAGAAGUGAAAGACUGAUUUAUUGACAUGUGGAAUUUUGUUUCCCAUAAACUGAACAGACCAUUAACAUCUAGAUAGGGAUAUAUUUCGUUUCUUAAAACUUAACAGGCCCUUCUAUGCAUAUGGUUUGUAUAUUAAACGUGAAUUUUAAAUGGGACGUAUUAUUUCAUUUUGAAAAAGUUAUUAAAAAUUAAAAAUUAAAAUUAGCAAAAUAGUAAUUGAAGAGUGUCGCCACAUAUAUAUUUAUAACAAAGAUAUCGAACUAUGCAAUAUAAUUUGAUCGCCCGAUAUAUUUAGGAUAAGGAUUUUACUGGUUAGGGCAGUUCUAAUGAACGUUUAUGAAUUUGAUGUUCUAUUUUAAUGUAAAAAAGCAAAAAA